UACGUAGGGGGCAAGCGUUGUCCGGAUUUAUUGGGCGUAAAGCGCGCGCAGGCGGUUUCUUAAGUCUGAUGUGAAAGCCCACGGCUCAACCGUGGAAGGUCAUUGGAAACUGGGGAACUUGAGUACAGAAGAGAAGAGCGGAAUUCCACGUGUAGCGGUGAAAUGCGUAGAGAUGUGGAGGAACACCAGUGGCGAAGGCGGCUCGUUGGUCUGUAACUGACGCUGAGGCGCGAAAGCGUGGGGAUCAAGCAGG
rnacentral:rRNA from 1 species